CGGGAAGUAACUGAGUGGUAAAGUAUUGGAUUUUGAUUCCAAAGAUCACAGGUUCGAAUCCUGUCUUCCUUG
rnacentral:tRNA from 1 species